rnacentral:rRNA from 1 species
AUUGAACGCUGGCGGCAUGCCUAACACAUGCAAGUCGAGCGAGCGGCGGACGGGUGAGUAAUGUCUGGGAAACUGCCUGAUGGAGGGGGAUAACUACUGGAAACGGUAGCUAAUACCGCAUACCAUCAGAUGUGCCCAGAUGGGAUUAGCUCGUAGGUGGGGUAAUGGCUCACCUAGGCGACGACCCCUAGCUGGUCUGAGAGGAUGACCAGCCACCCGGGAACGGGGACCCGGCCCAAACUCGUACGGGAGGCAGCAGUGGGGAAUAUUGCACAAUGGGCGGAAGCCUGAUGCAGCCAUGCCGCGUGUAUGAAGAAGGCCUUCGGGUUGUAAAGUACUUUCAGCGAGGAGGCGUUACUCGCAGAAGAAGCACCGGCUAACUCCGUGCCAGCCGCCGCGGUAAUAC